AGGCAGGUAAGGGUGAAAUGGUGCGGUAAGAGCGCACCGCGCGGCCGGUAACGGGCGUGGCAGUGUAAACCCCACUCGGAGCAAGACCAAAUAGGAAUCCGCUAAUCGUGACCCGCGAUGGGAUUCGGGUAGGUCGCUAUAGGUGUCCGGCGACGGGCAUCACAGAUGAAUGAUUGUCCUCGACAGAACCCGGCUUACCGGCCGGCUCCUUAU
rnacentral:RNase_P_RNA from 1 species